rnacentral:rRNA from 1 species
CGAACGCUGGCGGCGUGCCUAACACAUGCAAGUCGUGACGAGAAAGUUCCUUCGGGAGCGAGUAAAGCGGCGCACGGGUGAGUAACACGUAGGUAACCUGCCCCCAGUCUGGAACAACUAGAGGAAACUCUAGCUAAUGCCGGAUGAGACCACGAUCCCUUCGGGGGUUGCGGCCAAAGAUGGCCUCUACUUGUAAGCUAUCGCUGAGGGAUGGGCCUGCGGGCCAUUAGCUUGUUGGUGAGGUAACGGCUCACCAAGGCUGUGAUGGCUAGCUGGUCUGAGAGGAUGACCAGCCACACUGGGACUGAGACACGGCCCAGACUCCUACGGGAGGCAGCAGUGGGGAAUAUUGCGCAAUGGGCGAAAGCCUGACGCAGCGACGCCGCGUGGGUGAUGAAGGCCUUCGGGUCGUAAAGCCCUGUCGCAGGGGAAGAAUAAGCAUCGGUAUAAUACGCCGGUGCCCUGACGGUACCCUGCAAGAAAGCACCGGCUAACUCCGUG